rnacentral:misc_RNA from 1 species
UAUCGGUAUUUGGUUUGCUUCAUCACUCUGCCAAACGAACAAGCGCAGACAUCAGGCCCGUCUAAAAGACAGACCUGUGCUAAUGUUGCCGGGCCUUGGCUUUGCCCCUGUCUGCCACCAACUGCCCACUCAUUCACUGAAUAAGUGACUGGUCAGCAGCAGACAAGGGCUCUGCCUCACACCCAGCACAAACGAUUUGUAAUGAUCCUUCCGCAGGUUCACCUACGGAAA